ensembl:rRNA 5S_rRNA 5S ribosomal RNA
GUCUAUGGCCACACUACCCUGAACAAGCCUGAUCCUGUCCGAUCUCGGAAGCCAAGCAGGGUUGGGCCUGGUUAGUACUUGGUUGAGAGACUGUCUAGAAAGACCAGGUGUUAUAGGCA